AAAGAAAAUGUGCAGAGAAGCAAGGGAAAAAAAUAUUUUGCCUCAUCAUUGCUUCAGUUCCAUAACUUCAUGUCUGGCAAUCUAGACGGAGACUUAUUCUUGCUUCAGCACAAAAGUAACUACAGGUCAAGACGUGAUGGAAGUACUGUAAGGGAAUUAGUCAACUGUUUGUGCAGGGUUUCACUAGGAGGAGCCAUACCGGAAAGCACAACUGUUAAAGGACUGAGAAUGGCACAGAGCCACCCCAGUCCAGGUUGGAAAACACAGGAGAAGAAAAGGAGUGAGUAAUGAGUCAGGCUCCCUUUGGGAGCUGCCCAGGGUUCCUGUCAUUACCCAGGUCCCUGUGGGUUUGUUGUGGAGAAGAUGGCUAUGGCUCAGCCUCCUGUUCUGGACUGAUGCAUGUCCCAGAGGAGCAUCUAGCUUGGCAGACUCUUGCAGGAGUAUCUGUUCUGAGCUCGUCAGAGGUAGCUCAGAAAGAAAUCCAUGAGGUGGCCCCAACUCUGUCCUCUCCUUCAAACCCCUGCUGAAAGACCAUUAAAGAGCUACAUGACACUGAAGCACAGCAUCAGCAUUAAGAACACUGCAUAUAUAAGCAUUUAUCCAGCCAGAAAAAAGUAACAUUAACCUGACAGACUGUCUCCAGAAAUAGAAGAAUAUAUGUAUGGGAAAUAAAUGCUUCAUUUUUGAUGGUAAAAAUGCAAGUGGACCCUCCUGAAGGGAUGUAAUUAAAAAAUGUAGCAGGAGUAGGGAGGGGAAACAUGGAUGAUGAAAGGCAAUUUUAUCCCAGUAGAAGGCUUCCUUCUUCAGCAUUUAUGGGGCGGCUCUGUAGCUACAUGGAGACUAAAGCAGAAGAAGGUAAUGAGAGAGACAUGAAGACUGGGUAUUAAAUGUGAUAAGAAAGCAGCUGGAUGUAGAAAUGAGGAUAAGGCUUUGAACUGAGCACCUGGGCAAAAGACUGAAGCUAAGCAGCUGCAUUCAGGUGGUGGAGAGCUAGGCUGGGGGCCUAAGGGGGACUGGGACAAAAAGUACAGACACAAGAGAUCAACGCUUUCAGGUAAGAGGCUGGUAGAGAAAAAGGAAGAUUGAUGACUGGAACUGGCUGGGAAAAUGGAAUGGCAACUGGCUGAGAGAGAAAGCAGUGGUGGGGAUCAAGGAUCCAGAGAUGUAGAAGGAACAGAAAUGGGAGAGGUGUGGUUUGAGGUGUGUAAGACAGACUUAGCAGGGAAAAACAUCUGUAAGAGACUGCAGACCCUCCCCUAGUAAUUCCAGAUAACAAGGCCCCUGUGUCAUGGCACUGCUCCGAUGUCAUCCCACAGCAAAAGUGGCCUCUGGUCCACAGAGGAGUUGGCAACUUUGCAUUGCUACAAAUUACCUCAUCAGCUCAGAGGGCAUGAUAAGUCCGUAUGGAGAAGCUAAAAGCUAACCCCACUAGUGUGAGGCAUAGAGGUGUUAAUAUGAUGCCACAUAAUAGAAAUUUUGUUUUUCCACUUUGCUUCAUUAAGAACCUAGGAAAUUACCUACAAACACUCUGUUAAAAGAACUCUGUGAGCUGCCAAAACAAACACUCAGAAGUUGGAAAGUGCCAGAGCUGAAGCUGUCUGUGCAGCUUUUUCCCCAUUUGCACAUAUGCAUAGGGAACACAUCUUUAUUUGCAGAAAAAAGGUACUCUUCUCCCACAGAAACUGUGUCAGUCUGUGCUCAAACCUGGGUUCUGUCAAGAUGAGUCAGGACUGUGUAUGAGGUGCUGUAGUCUACUCACACUAUCCAUUUUCUGUAGGUUCAAUAAUGUGUUUUGAAUACAUUUGAUUAGGGCAAACCAGUGGGGGCUAUCCUGCUUAAAGCUGUUGAAUACUAAUCUGAAGAACUGGAUAUAACCCUGCCUGACUGUGCCACAUAUCUCUUCUACUCCAAUAAUAAGUUCUUACACCAAAUUUUGCGCUCAUGGUGACUAAUUGCACAUUCCCAGUUAUGUGGGUACCUGCCUUGAGACUCCAGGGCCUGAUCUGGAGAAGUGCUGAGCACUCGCAGCUACAGCAGAACUCAGUGGGAGCUCUGCUCUGAAUAUCUGAAGAAUUACAUAAUGGUAAGUACCCUGACAAAUUAGAACCUGGAGUCUUAAAUAAAGCACCCCAAAUCACUGCACCUCUCAGCUCUUCUGUUACCCAGCUGUAAAAUGGGGAUGAUAAUCAUAAGGGAGAUCUGAAAAUAAAUACACAUUUGUGAACUGCUUAGAGACUACAGUCAUUAAGACCAUGGGAAGUUUUGCAAAUUAAAUUAAAAAUUGUUUCUUCAGAUCAAGAUCAACUACUCUGUGGUAAAAAGGCUUUUAGGCCACAUGUUAAACAUAUGGAGAAAGGAAAAUAUUGAAUGGCUUUUCAAUAAAUUAAUGCUGCCCAUCAUGAACGAUGAAGAGGCAGUGAUCCUGUGGGAAAGGCAAGAAGUGGUCAUGUACUCAAGGAAGGCAUCGCAAACAUGCACACAGAGGGAGGGUAUUUAAACUCCAUGCUCCUAAAGCUGGCUAUUUGAACUGCUGGACACUUAAUGUCACAAAUUGCUAAUAUGAUUUUUGUGUAUUGAAUGAUGGGGAUAAUAGAUACUUAAGAAUUUUAUUUUCUUUUGAGGGAGAGAUUUUCUGAUUGAAAUCAAGCUAAACAUUAUACAUAUGUGCUAUUAGCUGAACCUAAUCCGACU